GACGAACGCUGGCGGCGUGCUUAACACAUGCAAGUCGAACGGGAGUAUUGAAGAAGCUUGCUUUAGAGAUACUUUAGUGGCGGACGGGUGAGUAACGCGUGAGGAGCUGUCCUAUGCAGGGGGACAACAGCUGGAAACGGCUGCUAAUACCCCAUAAGCCGAGAGGUAAAAGGAUCAAUCCGGCAGAGGAGGUACUCGCGUCCUAUCAGCUAGUAGGUGAGGUAACGGCUCACCUAGGCGAAGACGGGUAGCCGGCCUGAGAGGGCGAACGGCCACACUGGAACUGAGAUACGGUCCAGACUCCUACGGGAGGCAGCAGUGGGGAAUAUUGGGCAAUGGGGGAAACCCUGACCCAGCGACGCCGCGUGGGUGAAGAAAUCCUUCGGGAUGUAAAGCCCUGUUGUAUGGGAAGAGCGGAAGACGGUACCAUACGGAGGAACGCCCGGACAAACUACGUG
rnacentral:rRNA from 1 species